rnacentral:rRNA from 1 species
AGUGAACGCUGGCGGUAGGCCUAACACAUGCAAGUCGAACGGCAGCACAGUAAGAGCUUGCUCUUACGGGUGGCGAGUGGCGGACGGGUGAGGAAUACAUCGGAAUCUACUUUUUCGUGGGGGAUAACGUAGGGAAACUUACGCUAAUACCGCAUAUGCCCUACGGGUGAAAGCAGGGGAUCUUCGGACCUUUCGCGAUUGUAUGAGCCGAUGUCGGAUUAGCUAGUUGGCGGGGUAAAGGCCCACCAAGGCGACGAUCCGUAGCUGGUCUGAGAGGAUGGUCAGCCACACUGGAACUGAGAAACGGUCCAGACUCCUACGGGAGGCAGCAGUGGGGAAUAUUGGAGGAAGGGGGAAAGCCUGAUACAGCCAUACCGCGUGAGGGAAGAAGGCCUUCGGGUUGUAAAGCCCUUUUGGUGGGAAAGAAAAGCAGCAGGUUAAUACCCCGCUGUUCUGACGGUACCCAAAGAAUAAGCACCGGCUAACUUCGUG